GGCCGGAAGGCAGCAGCGGCCAUCGU
rnacentral:SRP_RNA from 13 species